GGGUCAGUAGGUUGGUCGUGCCACCGGUACGUACUGGUCUCACUGGUUCCUCCUUCCUGAAGAACCGUAAUGCCAUUAAUUUGGUGUUGCGGGGAAACAGGACUGUUACUUUGAAAAAAUUAGAGUGUUUAACGCAAGCUAACGCUUGAAUACAUUAGCAUGGAAUAAUGAAAUAGGACGAUCGAUCCUAUUUUGUUGGUUUCUAGGAUUGACGUA
rnacentral:rRNA from 1 species